GAUCAUGACUCAGGAUGAACGCUAGCGACAGGCUUAACACAUGCAAGUCGAGGGGCAGCGGGGGUAGCGAUACCCGCCGGCGACCGGCGCACGGGUGAGUAACGCGUAUGCAACUUGCCUAUCAGAGGGGGAUAACCCGGCGAAAGUCGGACUAAUACCGCAUGAAGCAGGGAUCCCGCAUGGGAAUAUUUGCUAAAGAUUUAUCGCUGAUAGAUAGGCAUGCGUUCCAUUAGG
rnacentral:rRNA from 1 species